GUUGAAACACCUGUCUCCGUACGAUCACCGAAGUUAAGCAACGUCGAGCCUAGUCUGUACCGAGAUGAGUGACUGCUUGGGAAUACCAGGUGCUAUA